rnacentral:rRNA from 1 species
AUACGGAGGGUGCAAGCGUUGUUCGGAAUCACUGGGCGUAAAGGGCGCGCAGGCGGUUUGGUAAGUCAGAUGUGAAAGCCCACGGCUCAACCGUGGAAGUGCAUUUGAAACUGCCAGACUUGAGUACCAGAGGGGAAAGUGGAAUUCCCGGUGUAGAGGUGAAAUUCGUAGAUAUCGGGAGGAAUACCGGUGGCGAAGGCGACUUUCUGGCUGGAUACUGACGCUGAGGCGCGAAAGCGUGGGGAGCAAACAGAAUUAGAUACCCCAGUAGUCC